ACUUAUACCAUCCAUUUGAACUAAAAGUUCAGAUUUUACUCGUCGUGAAGCUUCAUGUUCAGAUUCAGAUCCUCUUCUAGAGCAUAAAGAAUCAAUUUCAUCAAUGAAAAUAGUACUAGGAGCAUAAAAUCUAGCCUGCAUAAAUAUUCAUAAUCAUUAAAAAUUAGUAAAAAAUAAUUUUAAAUUUAUUUCUUGAAAAAAAAUAAAAAGCAUAUAAAUACCAUUUCAAAAAGGAGACGAACAAGUUUUUCUGAUUCUCCCCUAUAUUUUGAAUUCCUGGUGGACCAACCAUAAGUACUCCUUUCCAAGGGCGACGAAUUCCCUGAAAAAAUGACAUUUUAUUAUAUGAAACAUAAUAUAUGUAAAAUUAUUAAAUAUACUUUAAAGAAAUCUGGCAUCCACAUUGGAAGAACAACAGCUUCUUCUAAUAAUCGUUUUGCUUCAUGUAAAUCAGCUAUAUCAUCCCAAUGAAUAUUUGGAUUUUUUUGAACAAUAUCUCUUUC